AGUGAACGCUGGCGGUAGGCCUAACACAUGCAAGUCGAACGGCAGCACAGUAAGAGCUUGCUCUUACGGGUGGCGAGUGGCGGACGGGUGAGUAAUACAUCGGAAUCUACUUUUUCGUGGGGGAUAACGUAGGGAAACUUACGCUAAUACCGCAUACGACCUACGGGUGAAAGCAGGGGAUCUUCGGACCUUGCGCUAUUGAAUGAGCCGAUGUCGGAUUAGCUAGUUGGCGGGGUAAAGGCCCACCAAGGCGACGAUCCGUAGCUGGUCUGAGAGGAUGAUCAGCCACACUGGAACUGAGACACGGUCCAGACUCCUACGGGAGGCAGCAGUGGGGAAUAUUGGACAAUGGACGAAAGCCUGAUCCAGCCAUACCGCGUGGGUGAAGAAGGCCUUCGGGUUGUAAAGCCCUUUUGUUGGGAAAGAAAAGCAGCAGGUUAAUCCCCCGCUGUUCUGACGGUACCCAAAGAAUAAGCACCGGCUAACUUCGUG
rnacentral:rRNA from 1 species